CGUUUUUUGUUCAUAGAUUUCUGUUGUAGUUUAAUUUACUUGACAUUUUGCCAAGUCAUAGUUUUAGGACUAUCACAACAUAUGUAUUACUUUGCACCCAUGUCCUCUGUCAAAUUUGUUCAGUUCAAAGCAUUAAGACUAUGACCAGCUAUCCAAUUUGCAGUCCAGAUAUAUUGUUUCCUUAAUCAGCAAUGCAAAUUUGGGGCAGCUUCAACUUUCUUGUCUGAUUUUAUUUUGCAAUCUAUAAUCUGAACUGAAAGACAGGGGUACAUGCGCUCAGGUUUUGUAGUUGACUAACCAUUAGUAAUGCAAAUUAGGAGCCCCUUUAAUUUCUGUGAGCUGCAAGUGCAAUUGACCAAUAAUCUCAUACUUGCUCAUAAGCUGCUGAACUGAAUCAACACGCCUAUUUUGGUUCCAACAAAAAAAAUCCAUGCUUAGGACUGAAAAAUUACUUCUGUGUAAUGUUCAUAUGGGUCCGGAGGACAUUUUACACUUGAUGUUUACUUGUGCACGAGCGAAGCAAGUCUGAGCUGCCCUGGGUCUUCUAGAAAUUAUUGAAGAAGCGUCACGUAUCGAUAGAUCUGGAUCCUUUGUGUUGGAAGAGCUGCUGCGUCGGACUAUCAUAGUUCAUAUCAUAAUGUUGAUGCCUCUUUUGAUAUAGCGCUCAAAUAAGAUUAGGAGGAAGGGCAUCACACUCUCCGAUAGCAAACAAGAUACCACGUACCGAUCCUGAUUUAGAAUUAUGACAAGGAGUCAGGGACACAAUUAGAUUUAUACCAUCCGUUGUGAUGAUACAAGGAAAGUAAACAUAUACGCAUAUUGUGUUCAACGUGAUGAUACAAGCGAAAGCUGGCCUACGCCGCCAACUGAUCUGCGGCAGCGUGAAAGGAGUGUUCAAAAGUAGCAGGAACAGUUGUUCCACUGCUGGUCGGAGGGAGAGCUUGGCAAGGGAGAUAGAGGGAGCUCUACAACCACGAUCUUGGCAUACAACCCGAUGGCGUCAUGCCCACUUAAGCUUCUUCCAUGUUCCAAUUCUUGCAUUUGUUGGUCUUUUACUGUCAGAGCUUACGAAAUCCAUUACAAAUUGAGGUGAGGCCAAGUCAUGAACUUGUUGAGAUGUCUUUGCCUUGAAUUCUAAGGCUUGAAUCUAAAUGGAGGCGAGGCCAAGUCUUGAACGAAUACUAAGGUUUGCAUCUUUUAUAAAGCUUGACAGUUACUGUGUAGUUUCAGUUAACAUGAUAGUCACGCGUGGUGAAUCUCUUUUCUUGUCCAGAGAUUUCACGAAUCCAUUAUUGCCUACAGAACAACAUCCUAGGGCCCUCCCAGUUUGAUUCUCUUUAUUUUGCUAUAUCUCAACUAUUACAUACAUCAUUUAUGCUCUGAAGCUAACCAUUGUAUGCUUUGAUUGGUUGGAGCGGCAAGGUUUUCCAGAUCCUGGGAGUCUAUCCCUUCCAACAAUCUGGAGGUAGCAUAGUACAUCCGUACUCGCAGAGGGAAUAUGAUCUGAGCCGCCGUUAUGUGUUUCUACUAAUUAAAGAACAACUAGGGUCACUUGAAAGAAGAUGAGCUGGAAGAAUUCCACGAUAGACCAUUGCUUCAAGGUUGGGAGCGGCCACAACAUAAUUGACAUCAAAACCAGAUCUGGGUCCUACAUAUCCGGUCUUGCUCGUAUCCUACAAUGGUUUACAGAUGGUGUGGCUCCUUGCACUAAGAUGAUCGAUCAGAGAUCUAGAGUCCUCAAUACAGAUCAAUGAGGCCUCCUCAAGAUUCACUUCUUCAUAGCCCCCAACCUUGGUAUAGUAUAAAAACCUAUAAAUAAAUCAGAAGAAUAGGCAAUUAUCGGAUGCUUAUGUUUGUUGGUGUAGUAGCCCUCUUAAGUCCAGUCCUAGAGAAGUGUGUCGUAGAAGCAUAUCAGGAAGACAUGGACGUGGAUAUGCAUUAUGGUUGUAUUAUGGACGUGGAUAUAUAUUUUACAUAUUUUUCUGAGUUUGUUCUCAGGGGUGGGUCGUGGCUACCUGGUAACGGUCCAAUUUGGUUGUUUUAUAAUCUUGUCAAGAUAUUUCACAUGAUACGGAUUAACUAUCACCAGUUUUAGUUAA